UUCCAGACUCCUACGGGAGGCAGCAGUGGGGAAUAUUGCACAAUGGGGGAAACCCUGAUGCAGCGACGCCGCGUGAGCGAUGAAGUAUUUCGGUAUGUAAAGCUCUAUCAGCAGGGAAGAAGAUGACGGUACCUGACUAAGAAGCCCCGGCUAACUACGUGCCAGCAGCCGCGGUAAUACGUAGGGGGCAAGCGUUAUCCGGAUUUACUGGGUGUAAAGGGAGCGUAGACGGCGAUGCAAGCCAGAUGUGAAAGCCCGGGGCUCAACCCCGGGACUGCAUUUGGAACUGUGUGGCUGGAGUGUCGGAGAGGCAGGCGGAAUUCCUAGUGUAGCGGUGAAAUGCGUAGAUAUUAGGAGGAACACCAGUGGCGAAGGCGGCCUGCUGGACGAUGACUGACGUUGAGGCUCGAAAGCGUGGGGAGCAAACAGGAUUAGAUACCCGGGUAACG
rnacentral:rRNA from 1 species